rnacentral:rRNA from 1 species
AACGAACGCUGGCGGCAGGCCUAACACAUGCAAGUCGAGCGCGCCCUUCGGGGUGAGCGGCGGACGGGUGAGUAACGCGUGGGAACGUGCCCUUUUCUACGGAAUAGCCUCGGGAAACUGAGAGUAAUACCGUAUACGCCCUUUGGGGGAAAGAUUUAUCGGAAAAGGAUCGGCCCGCGUUGGAUUAGGUAGUUGGUGGGGUAAUGGCCUACCAAGCCGACGAUCCAUAGCUGGUUUGAGAGGAUGAUCUGCCACACUGGGACUGAGACACGGCCCAGACUCCUACGGGAAGCAGCAGUGGGGAAUCUUAGACAAUGGGGGCAACCCUGAUCUAGCCAUGCCGCGUGAGUGAUGAAGGCCUUAGGGUUGUAAAGCUCUUUCAGCUGGGAAGAUAAUGACGGUACCAGCAGAAGAAGCCCCGGCUAACUCCGUG